AUGGAUCCAUCCGCAAAGGCCUACCUCGACAAGCUCACAACGACGAUGGAGGCCAACACCGCGGCCCUCAUUGCGGUCAUCGCCCGCCUCGACGAUCUCGUCGCGUGGCGGCCGGAUCUGGAGCGCCGCGUCUCUGAUCUGGGCGACGCGGUCACCGCCCUCCAACAGGCGCGCCCACCUCCCACCACCGACACCAACGGGGGCGCGCCACCACUCCACACUACGGCGCCACCGCCCGUGCUGCCCUCCAACAACUUGGGCCUGGUGGGAGGCGAUGAGGACACCCCUCAAGGGUCUAAGGACCAUGGCGAUUUCAACCUGCAUCGGGGGAGGCCGGCGGUGUCGUUCCAGACGCCGCCGCCCCUCUCGGCCAACAGUCAGAUCAAAAUCUUAUCUUCUCCUUUUGCGCAUGCUAGUCAGAUGCUUGCGGGCUUGGGACAAGCCCACCCUUCCAUUUCGUUUCCCCAAUUCACGGGCGAGAACUCGAACAUGUGGAAAACGAUGUGCAAGCAGUAUUUUUCCAUGUUUGGCAUUCACAGAACCUUCUGGGUUCCCAUGGCCGCCCUCAACUUCUCGGGGGUUGCGGCCAUUUGGUUACAGUCAGUCCAAAAGAAGCUCAAUAGCUUCGAUUGGGAAUCCUUCUCUGCCCUGUUAACUACACGAUUUGGUCGUGAUCGUCAUCAACUGCUCAUUCGUCAAUUUUACACCAUUAAACAAACAUCAACCGUAGCUGAUUUUAUCGAGCGCUUUGAAUUGAUCAUUAAUCAUUUGAGCUCUUAUUCAGACUCUAUUCACCCAUUUUAUUUUCUCACACGUUUUGUGAAAGGAUUACGGGCGGACAUCCGAGCGGUGGUCAUGGUCCAGCGACCACCCGACCUGGACACGACCUGUGCCUUGGUGCUGCUCCAGGAGGAGGUGGCCGACAACGCGCGUGCGGAGGUGCAGCGGCCCACGCCUACGCGCCCUCCCGACGCAUCGCCGAGGCUCAACGUGCUGCUUCCUCAGCCUCUCCCACUGGCGCGCGCGACACCACCAGCUCCAGCCGCGGAUCGCCGCGGCACAGACGCCGCACGAGCCGACUCAUCCAAGCUCAAGGCCCUGCGCGACUACCGCAGAGCGCGCGGCCUGUGCUUUAAGUGCGGCGAACGAUGGGGACCCGACCUCACCAGCCCGACGUCGGUCCAACUCCACGUCGUCGAAGAACUUCUAGAACUCUUCGGCAUCGACGCAACAUCAGCACCAACGCAACCAGAAACCGCUCAAGAUGAAGUAGUCAUGGCCAUCUCCAAACCGGCCCUAACGGGGGGCGUAUCGAGCAAGGCGUUCCAGUUACGCGCGUGGAUCCAAGGGCGUGAGGUGCUGAUGCUAGUGGACUCCGGCAGCACCACGUCCUUCAUCAACGAGCGCCUGGCAGCGACCAUCCAAGGAGUCCAACCUCUCCCACACACGUAG
rnacentral:rRNA from 1 species